GAUGAACGCUAGCGGCAGGCUUAACACAUGCAAGUCGAGGGCAGCAUGAGACGGAGAUUCGUCGAAGUCUUGAUGGCGACCGGCGCAAGGGUGCGUAACGCGUGAGCAACUUGCCCGUUUCUGGGGAAUAACCGGUGGAAACGCCGACUAAUACCCCAUGGCAUCAACGAGAGACAUCUUUGUUGAUUAAAGAAUUUCGGAAACGGAUAGGCUCGCGUGACAUUAGCUAGAUGGCGGGGUAACGCCACCAUGGCUACGAUGUCUAGGGGUUCUGAGAGGAAGGUCCCCCANACUGGAACUGAGACACGGUCCAGACUCCUACGGGAGGCAGCAGUGAGGAAUAUUGGUCAAUGGUCUGACGACUGAACCAGCCAUGCCGCGUGAAGGUGACGGCCCUAUGGGUCUUAAAACUCUUUUGCAAGGGAGCAAUAAGGCGCACGUGUGCGUCGAUGAGAGUACCUUGCGAAUAAGCAUCGGCUAAACUCCGUG
rnacentral:rRNA from 1 species